rnacentral:lncRNA from 1 species
CGCAAUCCAGAUUCAUGUGUGUGGCGACGGCGCAGGGGGCUGUGUGCGGCGACGCCGCGGGCUCGUCACUCUGAUGCGCUGGUGCGGCGGUGGCAUUCGAGCGGCAUCAAGCAUGGGUGGCGCGCGACGUUGGUGCUACGAAUGCCUGGGCGGUGCGCACGGUUCAACGGUGGUGCGAUGCGAGACGUAGAGUGCUGCAGUGGGUACGGUGAGUGUGUGGGAAUGGUGGAGGGUUCAAAGG